rnacentral:lncRNA from 1 species
UAAAUAAAUAAAUUCAUUACAUAAAGGUAUUUCACCUUUUCCUUAUCAAUUGAUGGCUAUCUUCUUCUUUGGGUCCAAAAUCCUCACAAAUUUUGAAUCUAAGACAUAAAAUGAUCAGAAAUCAUACAAAGUUGCAGUGACAAAAUUAACACAAUCAUGGGACAAUGAAAUUGUUACAAUAGUAGGGAAGAAUAAAAAGGAAAAACUAUGGAAAAAAAAUUGAUAACAAUGCAUAUAUAUUCAGUGGUUUUGGUUGGGUUUAGUGUUGAGUUAAAUCUAAAAUUAAGACUAAUCCUCAUAAGCUAUUCCUUCUUCUACUUAAUAAAAAUGUCCCCAAUGAACUGCAAUUCAGAUAGAACAUCACUAAUCUCCUUUUGGUCACUUGGGGAUUCAACUGAACACCAAUACAAUCACACAAACCCCUCAAUCAUUAUAAAAAUUUCCUUCAGCCCUUUUUAUCAUUUUUGCAAAAGAUCAACCCUUCAAUAUCAAAAUCUAUAAUUAUCACUUUUUUGCCAAAACCCAAAAAAAAACAAACAAAAAAUAGAGCUAGAGACGUGAGUGUUUACACUGAAUAAAACCGAGACAAAUGGAAAGCAAACACAUCUCAACUAAUUCAGCUAUUUCAAAUCUUUCUACAACAAUAUAGCUUUUCCCUAACAACAAAUCUGUUCCCUUUCCAACAAAUUUCACUUUCGAUAGUAUUUGAGAAGAAAUGUUAAUGGAAAAUGAAGAGAGAGAGAGAGAGAGAGUUCGGAUAUAAGCACUCAAAAAAUCCAAAAUCCAAUUACCAGAUUCAUUCAAAUGCACACAAAAUAAAACACCACUACCAAAGCGAGAAAUUUAAUCGAAGAAUUCUACAAAGCCUAUAAAAAAUUACUGAAUCUCAUAUAAAAUUACAUCAAUGAACCCAUAAAUUUAAUGAAUAAUUCUCCAACACCAGAAAUUUAAACUAAUAAUUUACUAAAAAUCAAUUAUUUUAAAUCACAAUUUUGAAUGUUUACAUGCAAUAAGUCUAUAAGGUACCUGAGGUGAUGAGGAAUAGUUUGAGACAACCUCGAUGCUGUCGCCGAAAUUGUCGAAUACAGGUCGGAAAAUAUCUCAAAAGUUUUAGGGAUUAAAUCACAAUAAUUUGUAGGUUAUCGAGAUAAGAUCUCCCAAGAUCGAUUUAGAAGGCCAGUUUCUGUGCAACUUAGUGAUCUGGGUUUUGGAUUUGCCCUUGAAUAUUAGGACGAUGCAAGAGAAAAAGGAGAGACCAUUUAGAGUUUUCCACAGAGUUACUACUGCAACCAUGGCUGCCAUCGUGUCUCCGUGGGUGCGCUUAUGUGAGUUUUCCACAGUUAUGGUUUUUUUGAACCCCUGAUCCUGAUGCGAUUUUGGGCGACUUCCGAGGAAAUCGAAGCCGUCUUAGCCUAAGUUUUUUCUAUUCGAACAAUUACCGCCCUUUGGGGUGUUUUGUUCUCGAAUUGGUGUAUGUUGAUAGGAGCAUAUUUAUGCGACUUAGUUAGCUUGUUCUUGCGCAUUUACGUUGUGUUUUCUUAGUUAUUUCAGUGUUUAAAGUUGUUUUUGUGUGUUUUCAGAUUAAGAACAAAGUAUGCAAUAAGAUGCAUUUUGGAGGCCUUUGGAGCAGUUUCGGGUUUGGAUGGAUAGCAAAUGCAUGGAGCGAGGUGGAUGGACAAAAAUUGAAGACUAAAGAGGCUAAGAAUGUGAAGAAUUAUUGUACAAAGGAUAAAGAACUCAGCCACAAUAGGGUGUCACUCCAAAAUUCACCAUUCUUGCCGUGCAAAUCACAUUGUAUUCCCUUUGGAUUCCCAUGCCAUGCUUAAUCACCCUUGUCCCCUACAUUAUUUCUGAUUUCAUGCCUCAAUACACUCAAUUAUUACACUCAAUUGCUGCAUACCUCUUGUUCCCUUCACCCAUCAGAUUUCACACAACUUUCACAACCAUUACAUGCACCAAUUGAUGCUCCAUCAGCCACAUUUAGGAUCCUAUGCCGUGUGCAACACAUGUUGCUACACCUAUGACUAAUUUCUGAAACAUUUAACCUCCCCUUUUCACUUCUAUGCAAUGUACACAAUCAUUCAUGCUCCCUAGCUGAAAUACCACUCCAUUUUACCCUCCAUACUUUGCAUCAUUGCUUCAUUUUCAUCCUUGGACCAUUGCACACCACAAAUUGACCCUUCUUGCUGUGCAUUUCCCCAUUGCCUAACCUGAUUCUCUAGGGUAUUUGGGGCCUAUAUAUACUUGUUUACACCCCUUGGCCAAGGUUACCAUCUCCCAUAUUCAUCAUUCAUCACAGAAAAUUCGUCCAUACACACCCUAGGCAGCAAAACACCCCAAAAACACCAUUCUAGUGCCCAGAAAACAUAACAGCCACUCCACCCUCUUCCACCCUUUUUGCCGAGUUCUCCACCACCCUCCAACCAUCAAACACUCCUCCACACUCACCCUAAACCUUUCCAUACCAUUCCCCAUCCAUUCUACACCAUAAAACUACCCAAAACCUGUCCACAACCCAAUCUGUCGCAAGCAAGGGAAAGGAGGAAUCUUGGAUGCACUUGCUGCCAAGUUGGAGCAUUCUAGGUG